rnacentral:tRNA from 1 species
GCCCUCGUAGUUCAGUUGGAUAGAACACCUCCGUCCUAAGGAGGGUGUCGGGCGUUCGAGUCGCUCCGAGGGUG